CAGACCGGCAAACCGUUCUCCCACAAAGUAAUUCUACCCUUUGCCAGAAGAGGGCAGUGUAUGCCCUAGAGCCUCAAGGACCAGCAGCUUACCCCAGCCAAUCAGCAGCCAGGAUGUGGGGUAAUGUGGCAGGUUGAGACUUGUAACUGCUACCGAGCUGUAGUUAACAGUGCACAGAGGGCGUAGAAAGACACGAUGAGCAAGCCUCCUCGCUUUCCUCAUUCCUUCCAAACAAAUGUUUGACCCUUGCUUAGAUAUCUUGCUUUCAAAAGGUUUUCCAAACGAUAUUCACAAGGUCAUCAGAUAUGCAGCCUGAGGCGCUAUGAGUUAGACGGAACAGCUUGAGUCCAGACACCUGCUGUUGGAGAAACAACAGAUCAACCGGUCACCAGACUCCAACAGAGCAUUUGGCACAAGUGAAAUCAAAGUCAUUGAAGUGAAUGAAUGAAUGAUGGUAAAUUUAUCUCCAUUACCCGGAUGAGGAAACAGGCUCAGAGGUCUUAACUGACUGUCCCAAGAACCUCUUGCACUGAAGGCGGGAUCUCCAUGGGGCAUAGACAUGGAGACUAAAUGGCUGCAGGAUUUAAACUGGAGAAAAGGGAAUCAAAACUUAUGAAUAUAGUUGUAUGUGGAAUAAAACUUUCAUGAAACAUUUUUCUUGAAAGUCUUGAGAAAUCCAUUUAGAG
rnacentral:lncRNA from 1 species